GAUGAACGCUGGCGGCGUGCCUAAUACAUGCAAGUCGAGCGAACGGGCGAGAAGCUUGCUUCUCUGAUGUUAGCGGCGGACGGGUGAGUAACACGUGGAUAACCUACCUAUAAGACUGGGAUAACUUCGGGAAACCGGAGCUAAUACCGGAUGAUAUUUUGAACCGCAUGGUUCAAAAGUGAAAGACGGUCUUGCUGUCACUUAUAGAUGGACCCGCGCUGCAUUAGCUAGUUGGUAAGGUAACGGCUUACCAAGGCAACGAUGCAUAGCCGACCUGAGAGGGUGAUCGGCCACACUGGAACUGAGACACGGUCCAGACUCCUACGGGAGGCAGCAGUAGGGAAUCUUCCGCAAUGGGCGAAAGCCUGACGGAGCAACGCCGCGUGAGUGAUGAAGGUCUUCGGAUCGUAAAACUCUGUUAUUAGGGAAGAACAUAUGUGUAAGUAACUGUGCACAUCUUGACGGUACCUAAUCAGAAAGCCACGGCUAACUACGUG
rnacentral:rRNA from 1 species